UACGUAGGUGGCAAGCGUUGUCCGGAUUUACUGGGCGUAAAGCGCGCGCAGGCGGUCGUUCAAGUCGCGUGUGAAAGCCCCCGGCUCAACUGGGGAGGGUCACGCGAUACUGAUCGACUCGAAGGCAGGAGAGGGUAGUGGAAUUCCCGGUGUAGUGGUGGAAUGCGUAGAUAUCGGGAGGAACACCAGUGGCGAAGGCGGUUACCUGGAGCUUUGCUGACGCUGAUGCGCGAAAGCGUGGGGAGCGAUCCGG
rnacentral:rRNA from 1 species